rnacentral:rRNA from 1 species
AUACGGAGGGUGCAAGCGUUGUUCGGAAUCACUGGGCGUAAAGGGCGCGCAGGCGGUUUGGUAAGUCAGAUGUGAAAGCCCACGGCUCAACCGUGGAAGUGCAUUUGAAACUGCCAGACUUGAGUACCAGAGGGGAAAGUGGAAUUCCCGGUGUAGAGGUGAAAUCCGUAGAUAUCGGGAGGAAUACCGGUGGCGAAGGCGACUUUCUGGCUGGAUACUGACGCUGAGGCGCGAAAGCGUGGGGAGCAAACAGGAUUAGAUACCCGAGUAGUCC